UACGAAGGGGGCUAGCGUUGCUCGGAAUCACUGGGCUUAAAGGGCGCGUAGGCGGGUUCGCAAGUCUGUGGUGAAAGCCCCCGGCUUAACCGGGGAAGGGCCGUGGAUACUGCGAAUCUUGAGGAGGGUAGGGGCAUCUGGAACGGUCGGUGGAGCGGUGAAAUGCGUUGAUAUCGACCGGAACUCCGGUGGCGAAGGCGAGGUGCUGGACCCUUUCUGACGCUGAGGCGCGAAAGCCAGGGGAGCAAACGGG
rnacentral:rRNA from 1 species